AGAGUAGGGCGUGCGCGUCGGGAGCUUCCCGGUAGUGCCGUUGGAUGGGAGGUUGCCAACGGACGAAAUGGCUUUGCCAUGCGGUGCGCGCCUGCAGCCGCU
rnacentral:ncRNA from 1 species